rnacentral:lncRNA from 1 species
AUGCAAUCUGGUUUCAGAGCUCGUCAUGGGUGCACCUCAGCCACGCUCAAGGUCCUAAACAAUAUUUUAACCGCCAUCGAUAAGAAACAAUACUGUGCAGCCGUAUUCAUUGACCUGGCCAAGGAUUUCGACUCUGUCAAUCACCACAUCCUCAUCGACUCGAUAGCCUUGCUUUCUCAAAUGAUUGCCUCGCCUAGUUCACCAACUACUUCUCAGAUAGAGUUCAGUGUGUCAAAUCGGAGGGCCCGUUGUCCGGGCCUCUGGCAGUCUCUAUGGGGGUGCCACAGGGUUCAAUUCUUGGACCGACUCUCUCCUCUGUAUACAUCAAUGGUGUCGCUCUUGCUGCUGGUGAGUCUGAUCCACCUCUACGCAGACGACACCAUUCUGUGUACUUCUGGCCCUUCUUUGGACAUUGUCUUAACAACCCUCCAGACAAGCUUCAAUGCCACACAACUCUCCAUCCGUUGCCUCCAACUGCUCUUAAAUCCAAGUAAAACUAAAUGCAUGCUCUUCAACCGAUCGCUGCCUGCACCUGCCCGCCCGUCCAACAUCACUACUCUGGACGGUUCUGACUUAGAAUAUGUGGACAACGACAAAUACCUCGGUGUCUGGUUAGACUGUAAACUCUCCUUCCAGACUCACAUCAAACAUCUCCAAUCCAAAGUUAAAUCUAGAAUUGGCUUCCUAUUUCGCAACAAAGCAUCCUUCACUCAUGCUGCCAAACAUACCCUUGUAAAACUGACCAUCCUACCGAUCCUCGACUUCGGCGAUGUCAUUUACAAAAUAGCCUCCAAUACCCUACUCAAUAAAUUGGAUGCAGUCUAUCACAGUGCCAUCCGUUUUGUCACCAAAGCCCCAUAUACUAACCACCACUGCGACCUGUGUGCUCUCGUUGGCUGGCCCUCGCUUCAUACUUGUCGCCAAACCCACUGGCUCCAGGUCAUCUACAAGACCCUGCUAGGUAAAGUUCCCCCUUAUCUUAGCUUGCUGGUCACCAGAGCAGCACCCACCUGUAGCACGCGUCCCAGCAGGUAUAUCUCUCUGGUCACCCCCAAAACCAAUUCUUCCUUUGGCCGCCUCUCCUUCCAGUUCUCUGCUGCCAAUGACUGGAACGAACUUCAAAAAUCUCUGAAACUGGAAAAACUUAUCUCCCUCACUAGCUUUAAGCACCAGCUGUCAGAGCAGCUCACAGAUUACUGCACCUGUACAUAG